AACACGACUCUUAGCAACAGAUAUCUCGGCUUUCGCCACGAUGAAGAAUGUAGCGAAAUGCGAUACUUAGUGUGAAUUAUAGAAUCUCAUGAAUCUUCGAGUCUUUGAACGCAAGUUGCGCCCGAGGCCUCGGCCGAGGGCGCGUCUGCUUGGGCGUCGCAC
rnacentral:rRNA from 1 species